UGAACAUCAUCCUCACAUUUUCUGAUUCUCCAGAAAACAAAGAAAAUCCCCAAUCAUGGCUAGCUCAUCUGUUCUUUUUGGUGGUUUGAAGUUUGGUCACUACUCUUCUAAUUCUAUGUGUGGUUGCCCAGAUUCUGGGAAGCUAAUUCUUGGACCAUCUCCAGGCUGGUUCACCGGUGCAGCCAGAACUUCAGGCUUUCAGACUCACUUCUGACAAUCUGGUUCAGUGAUUCAACCAGUCUAGAUGUGCUAAUCUCCCGUCCCUGAAGAACGUCAGAUAAUAAAUUAAGAUGUUCAUAAUCUCUCGGACGUUAUUAGUGAGCUCACUGCUGUGAGAAGUACAGUGAGUGACAUUCCUCAAGGAAAAGAUAGAGUUAUGACAACUAUCAAGAUCGACGGUAACUCUCUCUAUAUUUGAAUUUAUUCAAUACUUUCAUAAAUUUUCUUACUUUUCUUUUGAAUAUGUCAUUGAUUUUUUUAUGUUCUGUUUUUCUUUUCACACUCAUAUCACUGUCACUUUGAGUCUGUUUGACUCACAAGCUGUUAUUUUCACAAGAAGCUUGAAGGAUUCUGGGGAGAUUCAAGGGUUGUUGUUGCAAAUAGCAUAAAACCAAAGAUGGUAGAAGGACGUUGUUUUUAAAUGCCACAUCGGGAACACAUGUAUCUUUCGACAACGAAACUGAUGCAGAGAAUUCUACUUUUUACGAGCUGGUUUCCAAAGACCUAGGAACACCCAUGUUCCUUCAUUUCUUAGAGGCUAUGCAAAGGUUGAGCCUCUUACUAUAGCUGAGCUCAAUGAGUUCGUCAUCAUUUCGGAGCCUCAGAACAUUGAAUGGUGACUGAUAUCAAAAUGGAGAAAGACUGGUGUUACGUCUCUUGCUCUAGGUGCAUGAAGAAGCUCCACCGAACGGUCUCAUCCUUUACUUGCGUGAACUGAAAUAUCUUGGUUUGCUCAGAUACCAUGUGGAGAUGAGCAUUGCUGUUGACACUGUUGAAGGGUGUCUUUGUUGGAUUCGAUUAGUGGUGAGAUGACAAAACUACAUAACGUGAGGGCCUAUGAGGCUGGUAAUUUAAUUGUAGGAACAUCUCUAAGUGGUAUCGCCAUCAAGAAACCUCAGGCAUCAAAGUCUUUAAAGGUGAUGAAGAAGCUAAGGGUUGUGAUGCAGAUGGAGUACUUGCUAUUUCAUAAAUGAUUAUGUAUUAACGGUGGUUUUUAUUUUAAAAUAUGUUCUCUUAUGUAGUUUGGUAUGGUUUAUUAAAAGUCUAAAACUAUAAUAAAAAUGUUUUUUUGGAGAUU